rnacentral:rRNA from 1 species
AACGAACGCUGGCGGCAGGCUUAACACAUGCAAGUCGAACGCCCCGCAAGGGGGGUGGCAGACGGGUGAGUAACGCGUGGGAAUCUACCCAGUUCUACGGAACAACUGAGGGAAACUUCAGCUAAUUCCGUAUACGCCCUACGGGGGAAAGAUUUAUCGGAAUUGGAUGAGCCCGCGUUGGAUUAGCUAGUUAGUGAGGUAACGGCUCACCAAGGCGACGAUCCAUAGCUGGUCUGAGAGGAUGAUCAGCCACACUGGGACUGAGACACGGCCCAGACUCCUACGAGAGGCAGCAGUGGGGAAUAUUGGACAAUGGGCGCAAGCCUGAUCCAGCCAUGCCGCGUGAGUGGUGAAGGCCUUAGGGUUGUAAAGCUCUUUCAGUGGGGACGAUAAUGACGGUACCCACAGAAGAAGCCCCGGCUAACUUCGUGCCAGCAGCCGCCGUAAUAC